GUGUUCUCAGCGCGCAGGCGCGUAGGCGCUCUGCGGCGGAGGCCGCAGCAGUGCGCAGCCAUGCUGGCCGGCUCAUGGACGGCAAGGCGACGGGGGCUUUGCUGAGGAGCCCAUGGAGCGCAAGCGGUCCUCCCGCCGGCAUCACCACCACCACGGAGCCGGUGGGGCGGCCGCGUCAGCUGUGGCGCCGCCCGAGAACCGCUGCAAGUCGUGCUGCCGCAAGUUCACCGCGUUUCUCUUCUCGCACGUGGGUCUGUGCGCGCUCGUGGUCGGCUACAGCAUCCUGGGCGCGUUCGCCUUCCGCGCGCUCGAGGCGCCCUACGAGGUGGAGAAGGCCAGCCAGGUGAUCGCCAUGCGCCGUGACACCGUGGCGCGCCUGUGGGAGAUCACCGAUCGGCUCAAUGUGCUCUACAAGGAGAACUGGACGGCGGCAGUCUCGCACGAGAUACUGGACUUCCAGGCGCGUCUUAUAGCUGCCGUUAAGGACGGCUACGACGGCAAGGAGAUCGGCACGGGCGGCCAGCAAUGGUCCUUCUCGGGCGCCUUCCUCUACUCGCUCACUGUGAUCACUACCAUCGGGUACGGCAACAUAGCUCCUCGCACCAAUUGGGGCAAGAUCGUGACCAUCUUGUACGCCAUCGUGGGCAUCCCUCUGAUGUUGCUCUACUUGACCAACAUCGGUGACAUCUUGGCGAAGGCGUUCAGAUACGUGUACGGCAAGCUGUGCACGUGCAGGCCAAGCGGCACGCAGCGCAGGCGCCGUGUGCCUCUGCAGGCCAACCACCUGCAGCGGAACUCCGUGGCCGAGAACUACCGUGUCCACCACAUCGUCUCGCACAAUGCGCUCGACGGACAGGAGAAGCUUCGCGCCUGCGAUGACCAGGUGCGCAUCGAGAACCUGACCACGGGUGACGACGAGGUCUACGAGGACGGCGCCAGCAAGCCACGAGUGUCGGUGCCCAUCACUCUGUGCUUCGUCAUCAUGAUUGGCUACAUCUCCGGAGGCGCCGUCAUCUUCUCGCUUUGGGAGGGCUGGGAGUUCCUCGACGGCUCCUACUUCUGCUUCGUCACCCUCAGCACCAUCGGCUUCGGAGACCUGGUGCCCGGCGACACCGUCGUCUCCGACAGCGGCUCUCAGGAGAAGCUGGUCAUAUGCUCCCUCUACCUCCUGGUUGGCAUGGCGCUGAUAGCCAUGUGCUUCAACCUCAUGCAGGAGGAAGUUAUUUACAAAGUGAGAAACUGUGGCAAACGCAUCGGUAUUAUCAAGGACACCGACGACGACGAAGACUUCUCCUGAGGCGUGCCAUAUUGUCUGCCAAACGUGGCCGCUUUGAGCGCCAAUGUGCAGGAGACCAUUUAGAGCGAGUGCGCUAGCAAGUAUAUUGCGACAGUCUGCGGUAUCAUCGCAAUGACGCCUUGGCGAAAAGACUCCGCAAAAGAGUGAACCUGAAGUAGAUUUUUUUUAAACGUGAAUAUUUGAGAACGCUCUACUAGCGCGCCUCAACGUGAAUAAGCAGCGACCAAUGGCACAGAGAGCUGUGGGCGCUGGGUACCGUACGCCUACUGACCAAGCGUGGCGUAUAUUUUCGUCCUUUUGGCACGUACCCCUAUUCGUGCCAUCGAAAGUUCGUCAUGUUGAAGGCACAGCUGAGGGGUUUCCUCCCGGAAAGCCCUGUGUACGGAAAAUAGCGCAGGCAAGAGCGAUAAGCUGCUACGGCGCUGCUUGUAUUUCGCGGACGUUGUCAUAGUCCUCGUGAAAUCAGUAGCCAUAUCGAAGCCGACUAAUACGUCCAGUUAUUCUUACAACUUGGUGUACCCAACCUGAGGCAAACAAUCACAGUUUUCCAAGGUCAUUAAGCAUUCAUGUUGUUUAUGGCAAAUAUGGUCGAUAGCAAAGCGCUCGGGGCACAGACUACGAUUAAAGAGUACCAGCUUUCAUCAACUGAGGGCCCAGCAUUAUUUACGUUUCGAAGCGGCUCUAUAAAUUGCGCCUGCAAGAUUACCGCGCAGUGUCAGACAAUGCAGAGGCCCAAACUAUCCGCUGCCACGUAUGCUCUUUGAAGGACACAUAUCGAAAUAUGCCCGGCUGCUUUUCAGGCACGUGGGCCACGAAAGCUCCCACUUGUUCUCAAAGGUGUGCCUUGGUAGCAAAAUUGAUAAUUGUUCGUUUUCUCCAGCUCCGCAUUCGGAAUAUAAUAAUUAUAAAUUCUGUUUUUUCUCAUAUAGACAGCUGAGCGACUGUUCUAAAUUGUCCCUGGGGUUACGGCUGUGUGUCACAAUGUCAGCGCUACAUGAAAAUGGUACGCAAAUUAAGGAUCCUGCGCGUAGACCUAAUUUGCGCGCUGACAACUGUGGGCGAAGGUUAGCCUUCCACGCGGAGCUCAAGAUCACAACUCAGGAUUCAUACAGGUAAUCGGGGGAAGAAAAUAAAUGCUGGUACCUAGCCACAGCUGCGUUACAAAUGCCGCUUUUCCAGUGACGCUGACGGCUGCAUGCGAAGAGAGUAGUGAGCUCGCCUUCUCUGUCGAGCAACAAAGGAACUUCGCCCAUGAAUGACUCGUGACCACUGUCCGCCAAACGACGUCUCCUGUGUGUCUAGCGUGCCGUCCUGGACUGUACUUGGCCAAACGUAGAAAUGUCAGUGCGAGAGCGCUUGUGCGUAUCGGUCGUGUUCACAAGGGUGUGCGGCGAAAGAGAACACCCAGCUCGGACAUCGCUUUUGUGAUACAACGACGACCACUCCGCUCGGUGUACGAUGAGCUGCCUGGUGGAUGCUAUGGUUUUGUGCUGUUCGAGUGACUGUAAAAAGAAAUUCGCUGGUACACGUGCCGAACUGCGAUAUGUACACGCCUUCACCAACUUUACUGUCGUCUAUGAUUUCCUGAUGCCGCGGUUUUCUUUCCAAGAGUUGUUCUCAUGGCACUGACAUGAGCAUUUAACUUCCUUGUGUACAGCAGAAGCAAUGCGCAAUGUGAAUGCCAAAUUCCGUUGUAAAAUUUGUCCUUGUAACGUAAAGCAUGUUGCAUCCUUAGGUUCCUAGAAGAUAGUGUGCAUGUUCAAGAAAUCUGACUUAUUUCUUCUUUCUUUAGUCGUGUGAAUAUGUUGGGUUGCCCGCCGGCUCAUGUUCUCGUCUUAUUGAAGCUCGUGUCUUUAAGUCUGCGUCGUCAACCAUGUUUUGUUGGAUACGCCACCCCAAAAAAAAAUGUUUCUCGUGCAAAAGCGUCCGUAUAGUACUUGUCAUUGGCUUUUUGCUAAGACCUACUGAGAUUUAAGGUAAAAUACUGCGUCUAUGGGAGAUUUUCCUAAGGAUCAGAUUGUCCACAGGCGCUAUUUUAAGCUGCUAUUUUCUUCAACAUCUCCACUGCCACUUAAAAUUAACUUCUUAAAUAGAGUAUAGCGUGUUUCAUUGAAGGAUACUGAGAGAAACAUCGAAUAAAAUAAUAUUCAAGAUACAAGCCACGUUCUUGGCUACUGAUGAGGCUUCUGAAUACUGCCGGAGACUCUAAUGCACUAUCGCUCAUGCCUUCUAAAGUGAAACAUACUUGUCAUUACAGAGCAUUAGGUUCUUACCAAUACCUUUGUGUUAUAUCGCGUGGCCCGAAAGUUUUAAAGUUUUUCAUUCCUUUUCUAUGUCAGUAGGAACGUGCUCGUAUGCCGAUGUAUAUAUUAUCAAGUUGUAUGGUUCCAAGUGCCACAAAUACGAGGACAAAACUCCAAAAUAAAGUGUUUAGUUGAAGAACUUAAAUGUUUUCAAGUCCCUUUCUUUCUCUAACACGAUAUGCUCUGCGAAUGCUAAAGGUAAAGAAAUUUUAUUCUGUAAAUCAGGAAACCGGUAUUGAAUUGUAGUUCAGUGACA